rnacentral:rRNA from 1 species
AUGCGCUCCGUCGCCAUCCCCAGCGACUACGGCCUCGCCAACGUCUGCAACGGCCUCCUCUGCUUCGUCCACCGCCACAAUGCCGCGGCGCCGGCGGUGGUGUGCAACCCCGUCACCGGCGAGACGCUGGCGCUCCCGGAGCCGCCUCUGCUCGCCGCCGAGGGCGAGCCGCAGCACCUCUUCGCCCUGGGGUUCAGCCCGCCCACCAAGGAGUACAAGCUGUUCAGGCUCUCGUCCACGGUCGUGGACGUGUACACUCUGGGCGACGCCGGAGGUUGGCGCCGGCACACGCACCUCUCGCUGCCGCAUCCAACCAAGAUCACGGCAUGGGCGCCACGGCUGAUCGGCGGCAAGCUGUACCUGCUCACGACCGGCUGGAACCGAGUGCUGGUGGUCGACGUGGCUACGGAGACGUGCCGAGCGCACCGUCUCCCGGCGCAGAUGAUCGUCGCCUAUGAUGAGCAUAUACCGCGGGUGGGCGCCUUCGAGCUCGACGGCCGGCUGUGCUUCGCGCUGCACACCGACAGCACGCCCACGGCCCUCCAGUUUUGGGUCAUGUCGCCGCCGGAGGACGGGAAGCAGCUGCGGUGGGAUCGGCACUACUGCUUUGAGAUCAACGAGGCUGUCAACCACUUGGGGCCUUGGAGCGCAUGGGUCGACGGUGGCGAGAUGCUCUGCUACAUGCACGGCGACACUCUGCACAUGUAUGGCACGAGAGGACGCUCGCCGCCGACGAUUCUCGGCGGCGUUCAAGUGUUGCAGUGGGACCAGCGGCUCCACAUCCCGGAGUUCCCAUUAUGGUGGGAAACUUCGAAAUGUCAAUGGAACUUCCACGGGGGCUACCGUCCCACCCUUCUCUCGCCUCUCGUCUUUGCAUUGCCGCCUUCCCAAGACGAUGUGCAAAAGAAAGGGAGCAAAGGAAUAUAA